CAGGGAGGACAUCUUGGUGGCUGGGGCAGGGACAGGAGGGAGACUUUCCCAGCCUGUGUGAGCUAAUAGUGGCAAGUAUUUGGGAAAAAAGAAGGGUCUAGACAGAGAAGAUGGUGGAUCAGAGAAGAGCAUGGAGCAUGAGAGGGUGGACCUGAUGAGGUGGGAAGCCAGGCGUGCCCCACUGCCGGAGCAGGACUGCAAGGGGCUGCUGCAGACAACACAUGGAAAGCCACUGCCUCUGAGCCUUUGCAUUUGCAGUUCCCUCUGUGUGGAACAGCCUUCUCCCCAGACAUCCUUGUUCCUGCCUUCCUGUUUCACCCAGAACUACUUAACAAUAUACAUACUGAUCCAUUGUGGAAUUAUUAAGGAAAAUACAUUGAAAUAGGUGGCAUUCUUGUCAAAGAUAUAUAUGGACGGCUAGAUGGAUAGAUAGGUGAAAAUCAUGUUCCAUGGAAGAAGAGUUAGCUCAGCCUGCAACUCAAACAAGUACAGAUAUUCUUCCAUGGAAUGACCAUCAUACUUGGAUUGUAAUAAAAAUGCUUUAGGCAAACUUCUCAUUUCAUCCUUGGCAUAUUAAAAAUAUGUAUGUAUGUUUAAGGCUUGAAACUUAACACUGUAUUUUAAUGUUUCAGUAAGGUAAUUCUUCUUAAAUAAAAUUGGCAUUUUUAAAAAAGCCCUCUCUCACCACUCCUAUUCAACAUAGUGUUGGAAGUUCUGGCCAGGGCAAUUAGGCAGGAGAAAGAAAUAAAGGGUAUUCAAU
rnacentral:lncRNA from 1 species